UACGUAGGGUGCGAGCGUUAAUCGGAAUUACUGGGCGUAAAGCGUGCGCAGGCGGUUCUGCAAGUCAGAUGUGAAAUCCCCGGGCUCAACCUGGGAACUGCGUUUGAAACUACAGGGCUAGAGUAUGGGAGAGAGAGGUAGAAUUCCACGUGUAGCAGUGAAAUGCGUAGAGAUGUGGAGGAAUACCAAUGGCGAAGGCAGCCUCCUGGCCUAAUACUGACGCUCAUGCACGAAAGCGUGGGGAGCAAACAGG
rnacentral:rRNA from 1 species